rnacentral:rRNA from 1 species
UACGUAGGUGACAAGCGUUGUCCGGAUUUACUGGGCGUAAAGAGCGCGCAGGCGGUCGAUCAAGUCGAGUGUGAAAGCCCCCGGCUCAACUGGGGAGGGUCAUUCGAUACUGGUCGACUCGAAGGCAGGAGAGGGUAGUGGAAUUCCCGGUGUAGCGGUGAAAUGCGCAGAUAUCGGGAAGAACACCUAUGGCGAAGGCAGCUCUCUGGGACGGUACUGACGCUGAGACGCGAAAGCGUGGGGAGCAAACAGG